CUACCCGAGCUGAGGUCAAUGACGUCACACACAUAGUUUAACAUGAUCAAAAAAAAGACAAUUGCAAUAAGGCUUUAUUUUGUAUUAAAUUCUCCCUUAAUAAACAUACAUUUUGCGUUUUUCCGCGAUUAAAAUUAAACACUUAAGUUGAGCUUCCUGUUGAUACGAUACAGCCAUAUUAUAUCAGUUAAGCACCAUGUUUUUAUUCACGUGUUUACAUUUGUAUAGUUAAGUAACCUACCAAAUACAUUUUGUGCAGAGGAAACCUGCUUUCUCAUGCGCUAUGUACAGUUUCAUGCUGCAAUGACAGGGUGCGUUGCUAUGUACAGUUUCAUGCUACAAUGACGGUGCGUUGUUGCUAUGUACAGUUUCAUGCUACAAUGACAGUCAGGGUGUGUUGUUGCUAUGUACAGUUUCAUGCUACAAUGACAGGGUGCGUUGCUAUGUACAGUUUCAUGCUACAAUGACGGUGCGUUGUUGCUAUGUACAGUUUCAUGCUACAAUGACGGUGCGUUGUUGCUAUGUACAGUUUCAUGCUGCAAUGACAGUCAGGGUGUGUUGUUGCUAUGUACAGUUUCAUGCUGCAAUGACAGUCAGGGUGCGUUGUUGCUAUGUACAGUUUCAUGCUACAAUGACAGGGUGCGUUGCUAUGUACAGUUUCAUGCUGCAAUGACAGUCAGGGUGUGUUGUUGCUAUGUACAGUUUCAUGCUGCAAUGACAGUCAGGGUGUGUUGUUGCUAUGUACAGUUUCAUGCUGCAAUGACAGGGUGCGUUGUUAUGUACAGUUUCAUGCUGCAAUGACAGUCAGGGUGUGUUGUUGCUAUGUACAGUUUCAUGCUGCAAUGACAGUCAGUGUGCAUUGUUCUCCCUGUAGUUUGCUUUGGUUUAUUUUCAUUCAGUUUAUGUUUAGUUUUCAGUAUGGUUUGCAUACGAACGUAAUCUACUGCCUUGUUGCGUAGCACAGACAGUGCAUGAGUGAAAUGCGUUCUUGCCAAACUCAAUCACACUUUUGUUUCAGCAUUUCUGGCCUCGAUGCUUUACUCACAUCUGUAAACUGAAGGAAACAAUUGGAUUUAACCACGACUUCCGUGAGAAUGUUGAGACUGUAUGCGGAUGAAGUUCUACAAAAGGGGCACUAUUCUACAGUAUGGAGAAACUGUAGAGAGAAUGUUGAUGGACAACACAGAAGACAAUACAGAGAUAAUAUUUCCUCUCAAAAAGCGGAAGGGAGAAAAAGUGUAGUUCAAGGAGGGAGCUGCAGGACUACAACCCCCAGAAUGCCACGGGAGGGAGCCAGGAUGGGUUUCAUCUGGCUCCAGCCUUUAAUCAUUAUCACCUGCCUGUUAUUGGAAGGCAGGUAUAUAAACCUACAGAAAUGUUUAUUCCAGGCAGUCUCUAGCCUGUGUGAAACGAAGCUGUCAGAGGGAGGGAGUGGUACUGUGGUACUGUGUGAACCUUUAUUGUUUUCUUCGUGUUUGUCUGCAACUUUAAAGGCCAAAAUUGUAUAUAUAUGUGUGUGUGUGUAUAUAUAUGUGUGUAAAUGAAUAUGAUUGUGUUAGUAAUAUUUACCAUUACCCUCAUAAUGUGUUAUUUUUGGCUUGAAUGUUUUUUCUGCUUUAUUUGUGUAAAUAAAACUGUUCGUAAAUAGA